UUCGGGGAACGAUAACGGCGUCGAGCGGCGGACGGGUGAGUAAUGCCUAGGAAAUUGCCUUGAUGUGGGGGAUAACCAUUGGAAACGAUGGCUAAUACCGCAUAAUGCCUACGGGCCAAAGAGGGGGACCUUCGGGCCUCUCGCGUCAAGAUAUGCCUAGGUGGGAUUAGCUAGUUGGUGAGGUAAUGGCUCACCAAGGCGACGAUCCCUAGCUGGUCUGAGAGGAUGAUCAGCCACACUGGAACUGAGACACGGUCCAGACUCCUACGGGAGGCAGCAGUGGGGAAUAUUGCACAAUGGGCGCAAGCCUGAUGCAGCCAUGCCGCGUGUAUGAAGAAGGCCUUCGGGUUGUAAAGUACUUUCAGCAGUGAGGAAGGGGGUGUCGUUAAUAGCGGCAUCUCUUGACGUUAGCUGCAGAAGAAGCACCGGCUAACUCCGUGCCAGCAGCCGCGGUAAUACGGAGGGUGCGAGCGUUAAUCGGAAUUACUGGGCGUAAAGC
rnacentral:rRNA from 1 species